rnacentral:rRNA from 1 species
AUGGCCUGUGGAGGCAAUGACCCAGCAGGAGCCGUGUCACUCACUCUGACCGUCUGUCGCUCCUCGGCCGUGCUCGGUCGAUUCCUGUUAUCAAGAACACACAGUACAGGUAGCUAUAGCCUAUACACGCGGUUUCAGUUGAGCACGAAAACGAAUGAUAGAGGAGCAAUCAUAUUCGGCCCAAGUCGUGAAACCCAAUUGUUGGUGCAGCAGCUUCGUGAGAUGCUCAGCUCGUUAAACGGCAUGGUUAUCUCCUUGAUUAGAACUGAAGAUAUGAUGAAACCCGGAGACCGGAGUGGCGACUCGGUCGCCGUCAAGGUCGUCGCAAUGGUGGCCCAGGCCGUGGAAAAUACCAACAAGAAACCAUGUGGACACAUGCUCCCAUGUCCCAUCCUUGAGCUCAAAACCGCAGCCUGCUAG